AGACUGGGAUAACUUCGGGAAACCGGAGCUAAUACCGGAUAAUAUUUUGAACCGCAUGGUUCAAAAGUGAAAGACGGUCUUGCUGUCACUUAUAGAUUGGAUCCGCGCUGCAUUAGCUAGUUGGUAAGGUAACGGCUUACCAAGGCAGCGAUGCAUAGCCGACCUGAGAGGGUGAUCGGCCACACUGGAACUGAGACACGGUCCAGACUCCUACGGGAGGCAGCAAAUUAGGGAAUCUUCCGCAAUGGCCGAAAGCCUGACGGAGCAACGCCGCGUGAGUGAUGAAGGUCUUCGGAUCGUAAAACUCUGUUAUUAGGGAAGAACAUAUGUGUAGGUAACUGUGCACAUCUUGACGGUACCUAAUCAGAAAGCCACGGCUAACUACGUGCCAGCAGCCGCGGUAAUACGUAGGUGG
rnacentral:rRNA from 1 species